rnacentral:rRNA from 1 species
UACGUAGGGGGCAAGCGUUGUCCGGAUUUAUUGGGCGUAAAGAGCUCGUAGGCGGUGUGUCACGUCGGCCGUGAAAACCUGGGGCUUAACUCUGGGCGUGCGGGCGAUACGGGCAGACUGGAGUACUGCAGGGGAGACUGGAAUUCCUGGUGUAGCGGUGGAAUGCGCAGAUAUCUGGAGGAACACCGGUGGCGAAGGCGGCAUCCUGGACCACGACUGACGCUGAGUGAGCGAAAGCCAGGGGAGCAAACGGG